rnacentral:rRNA from 1 species
AGCGAACGCUGGCGGCAGGCUUAACACAUGCAAGUCGAACGCGCGUAGCAAUACGUGAGUGGCAGACGGGUGAGGAACACGUGGGAACAUACCCUUUGGUUCGGAAUAACUCAGGGAAACUUGAGCUAAUACCGGAUAAGUCGGAAACGAGAAAGAUUUAUCGCCGAAGGAGUGGCCCGCGUCUGAUUAGCUAGUUGGUGAGGUAAUGGCUCACCAAGGCGACGAUCAGUAGCUGGUCUGAGAGGAUGAUCAGCCACACUGGACUGAGACACGGCCCAGACUCCUACGGGAGGCAGCAGUGGGAAUUUGGACAAUGGGCGCAAGCCUGGUCCAGCCAUUCCGCGUGCAGGAUGAAGGCC